UUUGCGGACCCUUGACAGCUUCCUUGGCUCCAUAUCGUAAUAAUUCGCUUAAAAUGCAAUGGUAGAGACGACUUUAAAUACAAACUCACUUCAUUUGUCAUUCAACCUAGCGAUAGCUUGAUGAGGGUUAAGUACUUGGAAUUUCAAACACUUGGCGAUUGGUCGACCUGCGCGCGUGCUUGAUGAGUGAGUGUUGACUAACUGCUGCACUUUCGUAUCAUAAUUAUUGUUUUAUAUAAGCGAAUCCUGCCCAGUGGAACUGAUUUACCACAACAGUGCAAGUUUGUGUUUAAGGUUUAGAACCACCACCCUAACCCCAACCAUGCAGAACACCAGACCUAAAACAAAUUCAAGCAAGGGUAUGGACUCUUGGAAUGACGUGGCGUGUUGCCGUUGGCUGGGGUGAGGAGGUUAGCUGGACAGACACUGUUGCGACGGCAACCCCACCUUCAUUUUGCGGUUCGGUAUAGCGCGCGGCGUAACUUAUAAUUUACCUCGUUACUUAGAGCGUCGCCGUCGGUAGUGUAACAAUAGUGUGUGUGUGUGUGUGGGGGUCAGGACGAAGGGCAGCGAGUGACAGCGUGACGGGCGAGUGAUAAAUGGUUGCUGUGGGACGUAACGCUGCUUCCCUUUGGGCUUCUCCUCUAGUCUCUACACAACACACUCCGGCCUACCCACAGCGAUAAAGAAUGGUGGACAACUUGUGGGUAAUCUUCGGCCACUGCACGAUGGCUGAGAGUAGACAGUCGGCAGCGGCAGGACUUGAACCCCCGCUACUGUUGACUGCCCAGCCACCGCCGCCCCUCUACUGAAAACAUUAACUGCGCUAAUAUACAAAUCCAUGUUGAUGCGCUACUGUUAAAAAGUGUUGUGCUGCCCCAG